rnacentral:rRNA from 1 species
GGCCUUUUGAAUUUAAUAUAAGGUCUGACCUGCCCAGUGAUAAUUUUAACGGCCGCGGUAUAUUGACCGUGCAAAGGUAGCAUAAUCAUUAGUCUUUUAAUAGAGGGCUGGAAUGAAAGGUUUGACGAGGAACUGGCUGUCUCAUUUUAUUUGUUUUAAAAUUUAAUUUUUUAGUUAAAAAGCUAAAAUUUUAUUGGUAGACGAGAAGACCCUAUAGAGCUUUACAUGUAAUUAUUUUGAUAUUUUUAUAUUAAUGUUUCUAAUUAAUUAUGUGUUUUGUUGGGGUGACAAAAAUAUAUAAUUAACUAUUUUAUUUAGUUAACAUUGAUUUAUGAAUAUUGGAUCCAUUAUUAUUGAUUGUUAGACUAAGUUACCUUAGGGAUAACAGCGUAAUCCUCCUCCAGAGUUCAUAUUUACAGGAUGGGCUUGCGACCUCGAUGUUGGAUUAAGAUAAUAAUUAGGUGUAGCCGCUUAAUUAAUAGGUCUGUUCGACCUUUAAAUUCUU